UACGGGGGGAGCAAGCGUUGUUCGGAUUUACUGGGCGUAAAGCGCACGUAGGCGGCUUGGCAAGUCGGAUGUGAAAGCCCUCGGCUCAACCAAGGAAGUGCAUCCGAAACUGCUGAGCUUGAGUACUUAAGAGGAUCGCGGAAUUCCCGGUGUAGAGGUGAAAUUCGUAGAUAUCGGGAGGAACACCAGUGGCGAAGGCGGCGAUCUGGGAAGAUACUGACGCUGAGGUGCGAAAGCGUGGGGAGCAAACAGG
rnacentral:rRNA from 1 species